UUCUUCUGUCAAUUAAGUUUAUUCGGAUCACCUGCACCAAUUAAUCUGUCUUUGUGUUUCACCUGGUCACGCUCCAUAAAUACACACCUGUUCAGUUAUUCAUCGCGGAAUCAUUUUCAGAUCAUGCUCAUGUCUUGUUUGGAUCAUGCCAUGCCUGUCUUGCCUGCCCGUUUGUUGUUUUGUUCCUGCCUCAUCUAUUCUUAUAGGGGCAUGGUUGUGUGCAGCGAGGCAUGGCACCACCAGCUGCAGUAAUGGCAGCAAUAUCUGAUAUGAGUUUGCCUAUUGAAAUAAUUGAUUAAACGAAAAUUCAACAUGGAAGGCUCACCACCCCACCACGUCCAGUCACUCCUCACUGGCUACUCCAAUCAACGGCAGGUCCGCACUCCUCCUCAGCCAAUCAUCUCCCAGGGCAUCACUUUUAAAGACCUUCUGCAUGGAAGACACCGCUCUCCUGCUGAGCUUCGACCCUCCUCCACCCCUUCUCCACCAUAGGCUCCCAAAUCCUUCCAUACCAAGGCCCAUGCCACCACCAGGAUGGGAUCCCAGCGGGGGAAGACGUACCUAAUCAUAAUCCUAAGAUGUUU